AUUGAACGCUGGCGGCAUGCCUUACACAUGCAAGUCGAACGGCAGCAUGAUCUAGCUUGCUAGAUUGAUGGCGAGUGGCGAACGGGUGAGUAAUACAUCGGAACGUGCCCUGUAGUGGGGGAUAACUAGUCGAAGGAUUAGCUAAUACCGCAUACGACCUGAGGGUGAAAGUGGGGGACCGCAAGGCCUCAUGCUAUAGGAGCGGCCGAUGUCUGAUUAGCUAGUUGGUGAGGUAAAGGCUCACCAAGGCGACGAUCAGUAGCUGGUCUGAGAGGACGAUCAGCCACACUGGGACUGAGACACGGCCCAGACUCCUACGGGAGGCAGCAGUGGGGAAUUUUGGACAAUGGGCGAAAGCCUGAUCCAGCAAUGCCGCGUGUGUGAAGAAGGCCUUCGGGUUGUAAAGCACUUUUGUCCGGAAAGAAAUGGCUCUGGUUAAUACCUGGGGUCGAUGACGGUACCGGAAGAAUAAGGACCGGCUAACUACGUG
rnacentral:rRNA from 1 species